UUAAGUGACUAAGCGUACACGGUGGAUGCCUUGGCAGUUGGAGGCGAUGAAGGACGUACUAACUUGCGAUAAGCCUAGUCAAGCCAGUAAGAGGCGCUUGAGACUAGGAUUUCCGAAUGGGGAAACCCACCUGCUUGCAGGUAUCGUUAACUGAAUACAUAGGUUAACGAGGCGAACGCGGAGAACUGAAACAUCUAAGUACCCGUAGGAAAAGAAAUCAAUCGAGAUUCCGAAAGUAGCGGCGAGCGAAAUCGGACCAGCCCUUAAGCUUUAGUGUAGUUAAUGGAACAUGCUGGAAAGCAUGACGAAACAGGGUGAUAGUCCCGUACACAAAAACUUAUCUAAAGUGAAAUCGAGUAGGUCGGAGCACGUGAAACUUUGACUGAAUAUGGGGGGACCAUCCUCCAAGGCUAAAUACUCCCAACUGACCGAUAGUGAACCAGUACCGUGAGGGAAAGGCGAAAAGAACCCCUGUGAGGGGAGUGAAAUAGAACCUGAAACCGUGUACGUACAAGCAGUAGGAGCCUACUUGUUGGGUGACUGCGUACCUUUUGUAUAAUGGGUCAGCGACUUAUAUUCUGUAGCGAGGUUAACCAUUUAGGGGAGCCGUAGCGAAAGCGAGUCUUAACUGGGCGCUUAAGUUGCAGGGUAUAGACCCGAAACCCGGUGAUCUAGCCAUGGGCAGGUUGAAGGUUGAGUAACAUCAACUGGAGGACCGAACCCACUAACGUUGAAAAGUUAGGGGAUGACCUGUGGCUAGGAGUGAAAGGCUAAUCAAACCGGGAGAUAGCUGGUUCUCCCCGAAAUCUAUUUAGGUAGAGCCUCGGACGAAUACUUACGGGGGUAGAGCACUGUUAAGGCUAGGGGGUCAUCCCGACUUACCAACCCUUUGCAAACUCCGAAUACCGUAAAGUAAUAUCCGGGAGACACACGGCGGGUGCUAACGUCCGUCGUGGAGAGGGAAACAACCCAGACCGUCAGCUAAGGUCCCAAAGUGUAUGUUAAGUGGGAAACGAUGUGGGAAGGCUAAAACAGCUAGGAGGUUGGCUUAGAAGCAGUCACCCUUUAAAGAAAGCGUAAUAGCUCACUAGUCGAGUCGGCCUGCGCGGAAGAUGUAACGGGGCUAAACAUACCACCGAAGCUACGGCUGCGAACUUAGUUCGCGGGGUAGGGGAGCGUUCUGUAAGUGGCUGAAGGUGUGCUGGGAGGCAUGCUGGACAUAUCAGAAGUGCGAAUGCUGACAUGAGUAACGACAAGAGGAGUGAAAAACUCCUCCGCCGGAAGACCAAGGGUUCCUAUCCCAUGUUAAUCAGGGUAGGGUGAGUCGACCCCUAAGGCGAGGCUGAAGAGCGUAGUCGAUGGGAAACGGGUUAAUAUUCCCGUACUCGGUAUGAAUGCGAUGGGGGGACGGAGCAGGCUAGGCAAGCAUGGCGUUGGUUGUCCAUGUGAAAGGCUGUAGGCUGGUGACUUAGGAAAAUCCGGGUUGCCAAGGCUGAGAGUCGAGACGAGCCACUAAGGUGGUGAAGUUGUUGAUGCCCUACUUCCAGGAAAAGCCUCUAAGCUUCAGUUCAUACUGAAUCGUACCCUAAACCGACACAGGUGGUCAGGUAGAGAAUACUAAGGCGCUUGAGAGAACUCGGGUGAAGGAACUAGGCAAAAUUGUACCGUAACUUCGGGAGAAGGUACGCUCUUGUUUGUGAAGGACUUGCUCUGUAAGCAAACGAGAGCCGCAGUGACCAGGUGGCUGGGACUGUUUAUUAAAAACACAGCACUGUGCAAAAUCGUAAGAUGACGUAUACGGUGUGACACCUGCCCGGUGCCGGAAGGUUAAUUGAUGGGGUUAGCUUAGGCGAAGCUCUUGAUCGAAGCCCCGGUAAACGGCGGCCGUAACUAUAACGGUCCUAAGGUAGCGAAAUUCCUUGUCGGGUAAGUUCCGACCUGCACGAAUGGUGUAACCAUGGCCACGCUGUCUCCACCCGAGACUCAGUGAAAUUGAAAUCGCAGUGAAGAUGCUGUGUACCCGCGGCUAGACGGAAAGACCCCGUGAACCUUUACUACAGCUUGGCACUGAACAUUGACCCUACAUGUGUAGGAUAGGUGGGAGGCUUUGAAGCAGAGACGCUAGUUUCUGUGGAGCCGACCUUGAAAUACCACCCUUGUAGUGUUGAUGUUCUAACUUAGGCCCCUGAAUCGGGGUUGAGGACAGUGCCUGGUGGGUAGUUUGACUGGGGCGGUCUCCUCCCAAAGAGUAACGGAGGAGCACGAAGGUUUGCUAAGUACGGUCGGACAUCGUACGGUUAGUGUAAUGGUAGAAGCAAGCUUAACUGCGAGACAGACACGUCGAGCAGGUACGAAAGUAGGUCAUAGUGAUCCGGUGGUUCUGAAUGGAAGGGCCAUCGCUCAACGGAUAAAAGGUACUCCGGGGAUAACAGGCUGAUACCGCCCAAGAGUUCAUAUCGACGGCGGUGUUUGGCACCUCGAUGUCGGCUCAUCACAUCCUGGGGCUGAAGUCGGUCCCAAGGGUAUGGCUGUUCGCCAUUUAAAGUGGUACGCGAGCUGGGUUUAGAACGUCGUGAGACAGUUCGGUCCCUAUCUGCCGUGGGCGUUUGAGAAUUGAGAGGGGCUGCUCCUAGUACGAGAGGACCGGAGUGGACGAACCGCUGGUGUUCGGGUUGUGAUGCCAAUUGCAUUGCCCGGUAGCUACGUUCGGAACUGAUAACCGCUGAAAGCAUCUAAGCGGGAAGCAGGCCUCGAGAUGAGUUCUCACUUUGACUUAGAGUCAACUGAAGGGCCGUUGAAGACUACAACGUUGAUAGGCGAGAUGUGGAAGUGCUGUGAGGCAUUAAGCUAACUCGUACUAAUUACCCGUGAGGCUUAACCAU
rnacentral:rRNA from 1 species